CCUUAUAAAAACGGCCGCAAGGCCCGCUGGAAGCGCGGUUCCCUCCGGGGUUCUGCGCCGACGGUUGACCCUUUGUGAAAACCCUUUGUUGCUUCGGCAGCGCCUUCCCGCCCUGACCGGCGGGGGGGGUCAGCCUGCCGGCGGCACCCAUUUUGAAAACUCAAGUCGCAAAGCAGUAGUUUCUUGUCUGACAGCGCAGUCGAAUGACUUUA
rnacentral:misc_RNA from 1 species